CGGGCAUAUGUGCAGAGGAGGGGCGGAUGAAGAGGGAAAGAAAAGACUAGAAAGAGGAAAGAAGGGGCCAAGAAUCAAGGACCCCUGUGCCAACACAGGGGGACAUGCCAAAUCUGGCCACCAAAGUCCUUUUGAGGCAACUGCAUGCAUCAUCGUCAUCAUCGUCAUCACCGUCAUCACCGUCGUCACUGUAACUCUACUUGCUGUCUGCCAACCACUUUACUGAGCAGACCAUCCUAGUAGCAACCCACCUUCUAGCUUCAAGGCUGUCCAUAGACCUUAGGCUGCCAGGAAACCAGUUAUAAGCAGGGAGACAAAAGGGAUCCAGAGGAUGGAGAGGCAUUCUGAGUUCCGCUAAUGAGUGAGCAGGAUGUCAUUGCCUGUCAGUGCCACAUGUUGAAGACGUGAAGGUGGGAGAAUCACAAGAUAGAAGUGGCCUAGUUCCUUGAAUUACCACUUGGAAGAGAACCACCACUAUCAGCCACUAUUACCACACCCAUGGAGUAUGGGAAUGUAAAUCCGCCUGGAAACGUUAAACUCAUCAAACAACAUGAAACUGUACAGCCCUCAAUCCAUACCCAAGAGGCUGGAUCCACCUCUCACCCUAGACUAAGAUUCUACAAAUUAUUAUUUGACUUCCUUUGAAAAACUGAUUGCCAGCUUUAUAACUCGAUCUGGGCACACUCCCCAUCGGGGCCUGCAUUUCCUGUGGAUGAUGCAUUGGUUUCCAAGGUGACGGUGGGAAGGAAUAGACCUGUUAGCUUGUGGCUUCUGACUCACUCACUGCAAUGGACGUCAUAGAAUUGUAGCUGAACAAAUGGAUGCUGAUAAUAAGUAUGUGCCUAAGGUAGCAGCGGGGCACCAAUGGUUAAAACAAUCCCAUUGUACCAGCUCUCUCUCCCUCCCACUAAGCAAGCCGACAGGCCAACAGAAAUACCGGAACUGAAAAAAGAUACAACAGAUUUCCCCAGUCAUAUAUAAGUUCACAGUGAAGUCCUAUUUACAUCCCCGAGAUUUUGCUCCUACGCCUGGAGAAUUUCCUUUUCCUUUCCGGAAUGUAGAAGUACCAGGAUUCUGUAACAAAUCGUCAUAUGGAGGCUGAAGAGAGUGUGAUGGAAACAAGCCAAAAACUCACCAGAAGUCUGUUCACGAAGGUGACAGCCGCUUUUGAACUUUUAAAUUUGUUUCUUGUGAGGCAAUUCACAGUGGACUAACAAUCAUCAGAGCCCAGAAUGAAACAUACAUUCUGCUGAGAAAUUAAUCUUCAGAAAAGUUGAAUUUCAUGAAGUCUGAAGAUGCUCUCUCUCUCUCUCUCUCCCUCUCUCUCUCACAUACACACACACACACAGUGUGUGUGUGUCUUCUUGUCUUCAGGCUCACUCACCCACACACACAAAGACAGAGAGAGAGACACAGAGAGAAAGAGAUAGAGAGAUAGAGGGAGAGACAGAGAUAGAGUGAAAGAGAGAGAAUGAUUGAGAUUGACUUUCUAGCUACGUCUUUUUGUAUCAACUGAUCCCAGCCACCUAUAAGUCAAAGAAGACUGCCUGGAAUAAAAAAAAUAUAUAUGUGAAGAGCCCCGUGUUCUUCAUGUCCGAACCAGGGAAGACUGAAUGGAUUCUUUAGAUUCUUGAGUUCCUUAAACGAUGAGCAAACCUAAAGGUUCCCUACUGGAGAUAAUGCAUCUUGUUUUCCACUGGGCCUUGCGGGAUGCUUUAAAUAGCAUCAGCAAGCAUCCGAAUGAAUUAGACAGCAAAUGUAGGUUAGCUUUAUUUAGACAGAUAAAGACAAGCAGAGAAAGUUGUCUGGUUCAAGGGCAGUGCAGCCUGACACGACAGCAUUUCUCUGAGGAGGGGAAAUUGCUUUGGGAGAGAGAGGUAUUUUGGGCAAAAAGCAAAGUUCCUUGGAUCUCCAGGGAAAGUGAUGCUAAAUUCUUCAGUACAGAAGAGCUGGAAUUGAGAAUGGCUUGCCAUUCAUUGAAGGAAAGAGCUGGAGAGUUAAAAUGUAAAGCAAAACUCAGUAUCACACAUCAUCCCUAAGUCCACACAUCAUUUUUUCUCUUUCCUAUUUCUUGGGAACACCACCAGAAAAGACAGGCUUCCCAGAACACAAGCUGGCCUAGCCAGUUUACACGAGUCCUCUGGAGUGUACUUGAGACCCCUGGCAAUUCUGAGUCAGGAAAUUAGUGCAGCUGAAGAACCCCUGGAGACUGGAAGCCUAGGAAGCAGGGAAACUGGCAUAUUUGGGGACAUUCACACGUUAAACAGAAAUGUGAAUGCUUGAGAAAAAGUUACAACUAAUGAAUUUAGUUAAUUUUCUUCUUCUUCCCCUAUCCACUCUCUUAGACUAUUUUUUGAAAAUAAAGGCCGGGCGUGGUGUCUCACACCUGUAAUCCCAGCACUUUGGGAGGCCGAGGCAGGCGGAUCACCUGAGGUCAGGAG
rnacentral:lncRNA from 1 species